CUAACUGUAUUGUAUUAUUUUGAAGAUCAAAGUAAAGCAUCUGUUCUUAUCAGCUUAAUUUCUGGUAUGAAUCCCAAGUGGAUUCGUUAAGAAAUUUGCAUAAGUUUUUGAAAAACUAGAU
rnacentral:snRNA from 1 species